rnacentral:rRNA from 1 species
AUUGAACGCUGGCGGCAGGCCUAACACAUGCAAGUCGAACGCGUCGCGGACGGGUGAGUAAUGUCUGGGCAACUGCCUGAUGGAGGGGGAUAACUACUGGACACUGUAGAUAAUACCGCAUACCAUCGGAUGUGCCCAGAUGGGAUUAGCUAGUAGGUGGGGUAACGGCUCACCUAGGCGACGAUCCCUAGCUGGUCUGAGAGGAUGACCAGCCACACUGGAACGGAGACACGGUCCAGACUCCUACGGGAGGCAGCAGUGGGGAAUAUUGCACAAUGGGCGCAAGCCUGAUUCAGCCAUGCCGCGUGUAUGAAGAAGGCCUUCGGGUUGUAAAGUACUUUCAGCGGGGAGGCGUUACCCGCAGAAGAAGCACCGGCUAACUCCGUGCCAGCCGCCGCGGUAAUUC